rnacentral:rRNA from 1 species
AGCGAACGCUGGCGGCAGGCUUAACACAUGCAAGUCGAGCGCCCCGCAAGGGGCGCGGCAGCCGGGAGAGUAUCACGUGGGAACAUACCUUUUGGUUCGGAACAACUGAGGGAAACUUCAGCUAAUACCUGAUAAGCCCUUACGGGGAAAGAUUUAUCGCCGAAAGAUUGGCCCGCGUCUGAUUAGCUAGUUGGUGAGGUAACGGCUCACCAAGGCGACGAUCAGUAGCUGGUCUGAGAGGAUGAUCAGCCUCACUGAGACUGAGACACGGCCCAGACUCCUACGAGAGGCAGCAGUGGGGAAUAUUGGAAAAUGGGGGCGACCCUGAUCGAGCCAGGCCGCGUGAGUGAUGAAGGCCUGAGGGUUGUAAAGCUCUUUUGCCCGGGAAGAUAAUGACGGUACCGGGAGAAUAAGCCCCGGCUAACUUCGUG